rnacentral:rRNA from 1 species
UUAAGCGACUAAGCGUACACGGUGGAUGCCCUGGCAGUCAGAGGCGAUGAAGGACGUGCUAAUCUGCGAAAAGCGUCGGUAAGGUGAUAUGAACCGUUAUAACCGGCGAUGUCCGAAUGGGGAAACCCAGUGCAAUUCGUUGCACUAUCGUUAACUGAAUACAUAGGUUAACGAGGCGAACCGGGGGAACUGAAACAUCUAAGUACCCCGAGGAAAAGAAAUCAACCGAGAUUCCCCCAGUAGCGGCGAGCGAACGGGGAGCAGCCCAGAGUCUGAAUCAGCUUGUGUGUUAGUGGAACGGUCUGGAAAGUCCGACGGUACAGGGUGAUAGUCCCGUACACCAAAAUGCACAGGCUGUGAACUCGAAGAGUAGGGCGGGACACGUGGUAUCCUGUCUGAAUAUGGGGGGACCAUCCUCCAAGGCUAAAUACUCCUGACUGACCGAUAGUGAACCAGUACCGUGAGGGAAAGGCGAAAAGAACCCCGGCGAGGGGAGUGAAAAAGAACCUGAAACCGUGUACGUACAAGCAGUGGGAGCACCUUCGGGUGUGACUGCGUACCUUUUGUAUAAUGGGUCAGCGACUUAUAUUCUGUAGCAAGGUUAACCGUAUAGGGGAGCCGCAGGGAAACCGAGUCUUAACUGGGCGUUAAGUUGCAGGGUAUAGACCCGAAACCCGGUGAUCUAGCCAUGGGCAGGUUGAAGGUUGGGUAACACUAACUGGAGGACCGAACCGACUAAUGUUGAAAAAUUAGCGGAUGACUUGUGGCUGGGGGUGAAAGGCCAAUCAAACCGGGAGAUAGCUGGUUCUCCCCGAAAGCUAUUUAGGUAGCGCCUCGUGAAUUCAUCUUCGGGGGUAGAGCACUGUUUCGGCUAGGGGGUCAUCCCGACUUACCAACCCGAUGCAAACUACGAAUACCGAAGAAUGUUAUCACGGGAGACACACGGCGGGUGCUAACGUCCGUCGUGAAGAGGGAAACAACCCAGACCGCCAGCUAAGGUCCCAAAGUCAUGGUUAAGUGGGAAACGAUGUGGGAAGGCACAGACAGCCAGGAUGUUGGCUUAGAAGCAGCCAUCAUUUAAAGAAAGCGUAAUAGCUCACUGGUCGAGUCGGCCUGCGCGGAAGAUGUAACGGGGCUAAACCAUGCACCGAAGCUGCGGCAGCGACACUAUGUGUUGUUGGGUAGGGGAGCGUUCUGUAAGCCUGCGAAGGUGUGCUGUGAGGCAUGCUGGAGGUAUCAGAAGUGCGAAUGCUGACAUAAGUAACGAUAAAGCGGGUGAAAAGCCCGCUCGCCGGAAGACCAAGGGUUCCUGUCCAACGUUAAUCGGGGCAGGGUGAGUCGACCCCUAAGGCGAGGCCGAAAGGCGUAGUCGAUGGGAAACAGGUUAAUAUUCCUGUACUUGGUGUUACUGCGAAGGGGGGACGGAGAAGGCUAUGUUAGCCGGGCGACGGUUGUCCCGGUUUAAGCAUGUAGGCUGAUUAUCCAGGCAAAUCCGGAUAAUCAAGGCUGAGGUGUGAUGACGAGGCACUACGGUGCUGAAGUAACAAAUGCCCUGCUUCCAGGAAAAGCCUCUAAGCAUCAGGUAACAUCAAAUCGUACCCCAAACCGACACAGGUGGUCAGGUAGAGAAUACCAAGGCGCUUGAGAGAACUCGGGUGAAGGAACUAGGCAAAAUGGUGCCGUAACUUCGGGAGAAGGCACGCUGGUGUGUAGGUGAAGCCCCUGCGGGUGGAGCUGAGACCAGUCGAAGAUACCAGCUGGCUGCAACUGUUUAUUAAAAACACAGCACUGUGCAAACACGAAAGUGGACGUAUACGGUGUGACGCCUGCCCGGUGCCGGAAGGUUAAUUGAUGGGGUUAUCCGUAAGGAGAAGCUCUUGAUCGAAGCCCCGGUAAACGGCGGCCGUAACUAUAACGGUCCUAAGGUAGCGAAAUUCCUUGUCGGGUAAGUUCCGACCUGCACGAAUGGCGUAAUGAUGGCCAGGCUGUCUCCACCCGAGACUCAGUGAAAUUGAACUCGCUGUGAAGAUGCAGUGUACCCGCGGCAAGACGGAAAGACCCCGUGAACCUUUACUAUAGCUUGACACUGAACAUUGAGCCUUGAUGUGUAGGAUAGGUGGGAGGCUUUGAAGCGUGGACGCCAGUCUGCGUGGAGCCAACCUUGAAAUACCACCCUUUAAUGUUUGAUGUUCUAACGUUGGCCCCUGACCGGGGUUGCGGACAGUGUCUGGUGGGUAGUUUGACUGGGGCGGUCUCCUCCCAAAGCGUAACGGAGGAGCACGAAGGUUAGCUAAUCCUGGUCGGACAUCAGGAGGUUAGUGCAAUGGCAUAAGCUAGCUUGACUGCGAGCGUGACGGCGCGAGCAGGUGCGAAAGCAGGUCAUAGUGAUCCGGUGGUUCUGAAUGGAAGGGCCAUCGCUCAACGGAUAAAAGGUACUCCGGGGAUAACAGGCUGAUACCGCCCAAGAGUUCAUAUCGACGGCGGUGUUUGGCACCUCGAUGUCGGCUCAUCACAUCCUGGGGCUGAAGUAGGUCCCAAGGGUAUGGCUGUUCGCCAUUUAAAGUGGUACGCGAGCUGGGUUUAGAACGUCGUGAGACAGUUCGGUCCCUAUCUGCCGUGGGCGCUGGAGAAUUGAGGGGGGCUGCUCCUAGUACGAGAGGACCGGAGUGGACGCAUCACUGGUGUUCGGGUUGUCAUGCCAAUGGCACUGCCCGGUAGCUAAAUGCGGAAGAGAUAAGUGCUGAAAGCAUCUAAGCACGAAACUUGCCCCGAGAUGAGUUCUCCCUGAGACUUUAAGUCUCCUGAAGGAACGUUGAAGACGACGACGUUGAUAGGCCGGGUGUGUAAGCGCAGCGAUGCGUUGAGCUAACCGGUACUAAUGAACCGUGAGGCUUAACCU